AGUGAACGCUGGCGGUAGGCCUAACACAUGCAAGUCGAACGGCAGCACAGUAAGAGCUUGCUCUUACGGGUGGCGAGUGGCGGACGGGUGAGGAAUACAUCGGAAUCUACUUUUUCGUGGGGGAUAACGUAGGGAAACUUACGCUAAUACCGCAUACGACCUACGGGUGAAAGCAGGGGAUCUUCGGACCUUGCGCGAUUGAAUGAGCCGAUGUCGGAUUAGCUAGUUGGCGGGGUAAAGGCCCACCAAGGCGACGAUCCGUAGCUGGUCUGAGAGGAUGAUCAGCCACACUGGAACGGAGACACGGACCAGCCUCCUACGGGAGGCAGCAGUGGGAAAUAUUGAACAAGGGGCGAAGGCCUGACCCAGCCAUCCCGGGGGGGGAAAGAGGGCCUUCGGUUUGUAAGGCCUUUUUGUGGGAAAAAAAAAGCAGCAGGUUAAUCCCCCGCUGUUCUGACGGUACCAAAAAAAAAAGCCCCGGCUAACUUCGUG
rnacentral:rRNA from 1 species